AGAGUUUGAUCCUGGCUCAGGAUGAACGCUAGCGACAGGCUUAACACAUGCAAGUCGAGGGGCAUCAUGAGGUAGCAAUACCUUGAUGGCGACCGGCGCACGGGUGAGUAACGCGUAUGCAACCUGCCCGAUACCGGGGUAUAGCCCAUGGAAACGUGGAUUAACACCCCAUAGUACUUUUAUCCUGCAUGGGAUGUGAGUUAAAUGUUCAAGGUAUCGGAUGGGCAUGCGUCCUAUUAGUUAGUUGGCGGGGUAACAGCCCACCAAGACGAUGAUAGGUAGGGGUUCUGAGAGGAAGGUCCCCCACAUUGGAACUGAGACACGGUCCAAACUCCUACGGGAGGCAGCAGUGAGGAAUAUUGGUCAAUGGACGAGAGUCUGAACCAGCCAAGUCGCGUGAGGGAAGACUGCCCUAUGGGUUGUAAACCUCUUUUAUAAGGGAAGAAUAAGUUCUACGUGUAGAAUGAUGCCUGUACCUUAUGAAUAAGCAUCGGCUAACUCCGUGCCAGCAGCCGCGGUAAUACGGAGGAUGCGAGCGUUAUCCGGAUUUAUUGGGUUUAAAGGGUGCGUAGGCGGUUUAUUAAGUUAGUGGUUAAAUAUUUGAGCUAAACUCAAUUGUGCCAUUAAUACUGGUAAACUGGAGUACAGACGAGGUAGGCGGAAUAAGUUAAGUAGCGGUGAAAUGCAUAGAUAUAACUUAGAACUCCGAUAGCGAAGGCAGCUUACCAGACUGUAACUGACGCUGAUGCACGAGAGCGUGGGUAGCGAACAGGAUUAGAUACCCUGGUAGUCCACGCCGUAAACGAUGCUCACUGGAUCUUGGCGAUACACGGCCAGGGUUCAAGCGAAAGUAUGAAAAAGCGGAAGGACCUUCCGCCGGCUUGCUGCAGUACAAAACGGCAUCACGGGUUUGCAAGAUUCUUUGAAAAUGGAGCGAGGUUUCGGAUGCGGCUUCCCGUAUGAACCGAUCAGUGUGUUUGUUGCAAACCCGAUUGUAUGUCUCUAUGUAUCGGCCUGCGAAUACCCGGGUUGAAAAAUGUCCGAUGUGUCACGCUUUUUGCA
rnacentral:rRNA from 1 species